rnacentral:ncRNA from 2 species
AUUAUGGUGCAGGGGAACAUAUUGUUGAGAGGACAUACGUCCGACCCUUUGAACCUGUAGGUUAAUACCUGCGUAGGGAGCACCCCCGUUUUCGUG